GGGGCCAUUGUCUCCGACGUUUGCACAGUCUCUCUUUAGUUGCGUCUUCAAUGGCGAAAGAAAAGGGACCUAACUGGGGCGGGCUACUGAAAUGGAGAGCCUCUCCCACGCCGAUGGUACUCGUCCUACUCGCCAUAUCAGCGAGGAGGAUCGAAAAUGGUUCGCAGAAGCUAUGCAAUCUCAGACGUUUGAUGUAGUCAAACGGAGAUGAAGGAGAUAACACAGGUUAUGCAGGAACCUCAACAUGUUUUUGAGUCUCAUGAAGUCACCUCUCAAGAUUUGCUGGAUGAGUUGCAAGAUCAAGUCGGAUCGAUUGAUAUGGCUAAUGGUGAAUCUUUUCUCACUAUGAUGAUCUUUUGAGUUUUCUCUAUAUUUCUUAUAUGCUGAAGAGGAGAGAGAGCUCUUUUUGGAUCACACUCUUAGCAUGAACCAGCAACACUUGUUAAGUAUUGUUACUUUAAAUGAUUUUAGUUUAGUUUUUUCAUUCAA